AGAGAAGCUGUGGAGUUUCCCUCACUGGAAAUAUUCCAGAACUGUCUGGGCGCAAUUCUGUGCAAUGUGCUUUGGGAUGACCGUGCUUGAUCACAGAGGUUGGGCCAGAUGACCCACUGUGGUCCUUUGCAACCUGACCCCUUCUGUGAUUCUGAGUCUCCCCAAGUCCCUGGUGGUGUUGCAGCAGUGUGUCCUCGCAGCAGCAUUUCCUUAGUCAGCAUUUCCUGCAGGCCCCUUCUCACAAGUAUGUUUGGAAAUGCCUCUAAAAUAGGUUUGGUGCUGUACUGGAAGUGAUCUUCUCUAACACGACCUUUGGAAACUUAAAAGAUGCAAAGAUACAUUCUGGGGUUACUGAGGAAUUCCUGCUGCUCAGCUGUGUGUUAGGUUGUUUCAGUGUCUGAGCCUGUGUCUACAUUGGCAAAUAAGAGAAGUUCUGAACAAGAGAUGGGGAACUGAGGAUCCAACAUCCACACCACUGAUGUGUCAGUCCAGACCAGCUUUAGUCUAGUCCUGUGGAUGCAGUGACUGCUAGGGUUGGAAGAUGUUGUGUAUGUUCUGGGAAUGUAACUGUCAGUUUGGUUUCCUUCAAAAGGAAUCCAUAAUGAACACUCCAAGACCCUGCAUGACAAGUGGGAGUGAUCAGAAGAUGAAUGCCUCAUGCAUACUUAGUUCGAUCUAUCUGUUAGCACUAGCCUAGGGCUAACCUGAAGUAGAUCCUACCUGAAAUACAUAUAGUAUGUGUGUCGGGAUCUCAAUAUUCAGCAGCUUUGCUGUGCAUAUCCUCUCCUAGCAGUAUGUUCUACUUGCCAAUAUAGACACAGUCUCAGUUUAUUUGAUCAUGAAUUCACAUAGUGAUGUGUAUACACCCCUGUAUCAGAACGACUGGAGAACAGCGUGAUGAACCUCAUCCAAUAACCGUAGAAGAUGGUAGAAGAAAAGGUUUUGAAUGGUGGUAGGUGACAAGGUUUCUCUCAGAGAUCUCUGAUUUCCUGUACAGCUUUCUGGUUACAGUUUGUUGAUCUAACAAGACCACACAAGUAUUUUA